AGAGUUUGAUCAUGGCUCAGAUUGAACGCUGGCGGCAGGCCUAACACAUGCAAGUCGAGCGGUAGCACAGAGAGCUUGCUCUCGGGUGACGAGCGGCGGACGGGUGAGUAAUGUCUGGGAAACUGCCUGAUGGAGGGGGAUAACUACUGGAAACGGUAGCUAAUACCGCAUAAUGUCGCAAGACCAAAGUGGGGGACCUUCGGGCCUCAUGCCAUCAGAUGUGCCCAGAUGGGAUUAGCUAGUAGGUGGGGUAACGGCUCACCUAGGCGACGAUCCCUAGCUGGUCUGAGAGGAUGACCAGCCACACUGGAACUGAGACACGGUCCAGACUCCUACGGGAGGCAGCAGUGGGGAAUAUUGCACAAUGGGCGCAAGCCUGAUGCAGCCAUGCCGCGUGUGUGAAGAAGGCCUUCGGGUUGUAAAGCACUUUCAGCGGGGAGGAAGGCGUUAAGGUUAAUAACCUCAGCGAUUGACGUUACCCGCAGAAGAAGCACCGGCUAACUCCGUGCCAGCAGCCGCGGUAAUACGGAGGGUGCAAGCGUUAAUCGGAAUUACUGGGCGUAAAGCGCACGCAGGCGGUCUGUCAAGUCGGAUGUGAAAUCCCCGGGCUCAACCUGGGAACUGCAUUCGAAACUGGCAGGCUAGAGUCUUGUAGAGGGGGGUAGAAUUCCAGGUGUAGCGGUGAAAUGCGUAGAGAUCUGGAGGAAUACCGGUGGCGAAGGCGGCCCCCUGGACAAAGACUGACGCUCAGGUGCGAAAGCGUGGGGAGCAAACAGGAUUAGAUACCCUGGUAGUCCACGCCGUAAACGAUGUCGAUUUGGAGGUUGUGCCCUUGAGGCGUGGCUUCCGGAGCUAACGCGUUAAAUCGACCGCCUGGGGAGUACGGCCGCAAGGUUAAAACUCAAAUGAAUUGACGGGGGCCCGCACAAGCGGUGGAGCAUGUGGUUUAAUUCGAUGCAACGCGAAGAACCUUACCUGGUCUUGACAUCCACAGAACUUUCCAGAGAUGGAUUGGUGCCUUCGGGAACUGUGAGACAGGUGCUGCAUGGCUGUCGUCAGCUCGUGUUGUGAAAUGUUGGGUUAAGUCCCGCAACGAGCGCAACCCUUAUCCUUUGUUGCCAGCGGUUAGGCCGGGAACUCAAAGGAGACUGCCAGUGAUAAACUGGAGGAAGGUGGGGAUGACGUCAAGUCAUCAUGGCCCUUACGACCAGGGCUACACACGUGCUACAAUGGCAUAUACAAAGAGAAGCGACCUCGCGAGAGCAAGCGGACCUCAUAAAGUAUGUCGUAGUCCGGAUUGGAGUCUGCAACUCGACUCCAUGAAGUCGGAAUCGCUAGUAAUCGUAGAUCAGAAUGCUACGGUGAAUACGUUCCCGGGCCUUGUACACACCGCCCGUCACACCAUGGGAGUGGGUUGCAAAAGAAGUAGGUAGCUUAACCUUCGGGAGGGCGCUUACCACUUUGUGAUUCAUGACUGGGGUGAAGUCGUAACAAGGUAACCGUAGGGGAACCUGCGGUUGGAUCACCU
rnacentral:rRNA from 1 species